GAUGAACGCUAGCGACAGGCUUAACACAUGCAAGUCGAGGGGCAGCGGGGGUAGCAAUACCCGCCGGCGACCGGCGCACGGGUGAGUAACGCGUAUGCAACUUACCUAUCAGAGGGGGAUAACCCGGCGAAAGUCGGACUAAUACCGCAUGAAGCAGGGAUCCGCAUGGGAAGUAUUUGCUAAAGAAUUCUAUCGCUGAUAGAUAGGCAUGCGUUCCAUUAGGCAGUUGGCGGGGUAACGGCCCACCAAACCGACGAUGGAUAGGGGUUCUGAGAGGAAGGUCCCCCCACAUUGGUACUGAGACACGGACCAAACUCCUACGGGAGGCAGCAGGUGAGGAAUAUUGGGUCAAUGGGCCGAGAGGCUGAACCAGCCAGUCGCGUGAGGGAUG
rnacentral:rRNA from 1 species